GUGAGAGGAGAGCACAUACAGUUGUUACCGUAUCACAGAUACAGCUUAUAGAAUGCAUCUCUCUGCACCUUUUUUUUAUAGGAAUAUGUGUUUGGGAGCUAUUUAUAUAUGCAAUAAAUGGGAACUACACCACAAAAGAGUAACAUUUGGAAAGCUGAUUUUUGUGGACGCAUUAUGGAUAGCUCCCUUCUGUGGCAGUUCAUAGGGAAUCGCCACUACACUUGGCAUGCCUGUUUUUCUGAAAUUUCUGCCAUCCUUCUCUGCAGAUCCUCUCAAGUUGUCUUUGUCCUGUCGUGUCCCUUGUAUAUAUAUUUUUACAUCUUUUUCUUCGCAUAUCUUUUAAAAAUAUUUUCCUAAACCUCAACUUCUAAAUACUCUCCUGCAACCCGCCUCACCCAAUGUGGCGUGGAUCUGUUUUUUUUCUAAAGUAUUUCUAUUUAAUUCAGAUCUGGAAUCCCUCAACUGAAGCUAGCCAGCUAACUACCUACCAGGUAUUAGUCAGCAAACCAUUGCUAGCGGUCAUCAGCUAACCUUUAGCUCGGAAAGCUCUCGCCAGUUCGAACAAUGUGACUCAAACCAGAGCAUAACGGACCUAUUAUUAUUUUUUAAUUUUUUUCCCCCAUAUCCCUGGAUUCCUACCGCAAACUCUGAACAUUUUCAUCUGGAUCUUCGCAACUAGCUAACCGCAAUCCUGGGUGACUUCUCCUGGCUAGCUUUUCCAUCCCAGAGCAAGCACCAAUUAGCCUGAAGCUAGCCCAGCCAGGGCUCCUGUGCUACCACCGAAGCCCACUCCUGGGCUACAAUAUCUGGACCCCUUCUACUGCCGGUACAGGGCACGGAACCCCGCCGAUCCUCUAUGACUGGAAUAUCAACAUAAUCUGACCGAGGAUUCCAACAGGCCCCUCAGGCGCGACGUCCGCUGAAGGCCCAUUCUGCUAACCGCGGCCUACUAGCUACCUAGAGUUACUUAGAACCCUACUAAUUCCACGACUGGUCUAUCGACGUCACCGCACGAAGAGGCAAAAACAGACUUACCCCCAUCGCGACGUCCCCCAAAGGCUAACUUGCUAGCCCCGGUCUGCUAACUGCUAGCUUGCCUGCCCUGGUCUGCCAACUGCUUGCUUGCUAACCCGGUCUGCUAACUGCUAGCUUGCCAGCCCCGGUCUGCUAACUGCUAGCUUGUUUAGCCCCGCACUACUAACUGUUAGCUUGUUAGCAUCGGCUUGCUAACUGUCUGAAUCGCCGUGUCCCCAGUCAGCCCAACCACUCACUGGACCCAUAUGUUCACUUGGCUACGCAUGCCUCUCUCUAAUAUCAAUAUGCCUCGUCCAUUACUGUCCUGGUUAGUGAUUACUGUCUUAUUUCACUGUAGAGCCUCUAGCCCUGCUCAAUAUGCCUUAACCAACCAUGUUGUUCCACCUCCUACAUAUGCGAUGACAUCACCUGGUUUAAAUGUCUCUAGAGACUAUAUCGCUCUCAUCAUUACUCAAUGCCUAGGUUUACCUCCAAUGAACUCACAUCCUACCUUACCUUUGUCUGUACACUAUGCCUUGAAUCUAUGCUAUCGUGCCCAGAAACCUGCUCCUUUUACUCUCUGUUCCGAACGUGCUAGACGGCCAGUUCGUAUAGCCUUUAGCCGUACCCUUAUCCUACUUCUCCUCUGUUGAUGUGGAGGUUAAUCCAGGUCCUGCAGUGCCUAGCUCCACUCCCACUCCCCAGGUGCUCUCAUUUGUUGACUUCUGUAACCGUAAAAGCCUUGGUUUCAUGCAUGUUAACAUUAGAAGCCUACUCCCUAAGUUUGUUUUACUCACUGCUUUAGCACACUCUGCCAACCCGGAUGUCUUAGCCGUGUCUGAAUCCUGGCUUAGGAAAACCACCAAAAACCCUGAAAUCUCCGUCGCUAACUAUAACAUUUUCCGCCAAGAUAGAACUGCCAAAGGGGGCGGUGUUGCAAUCUACUGCAAAGAUAGUAAUACAGAACUCUGCAGGCUAUCCAAGUCUGUACCAAAACAAUUCGAGCUUCUACUUUUAAAAAUUCACCUUUCCAGAAACAAGUCUCUCACUGUUGCCGCUUGCUAUAGACCUCCCUCUGCCCCCAGCUGUGCCCUCGAUACCAUAUGUGAAUUGAUUGCCCCCAUAUAUCUUCUGAGCUUGUUCUACUAGGUGACCUAAACUGGGACAUGCUUAACACCCCGGCCAUUCUACAAUCUAAGCUAGAUGCCCUCAAUCUCACACAAAUUGUACAACCCCAAAUCCAUAAACACGGGCACCUCCAUAGAUGUCAUCCUAACUAACUUGCCCUCCAAAUACACCUCUGAUGUUUUCAAUCAAGAUCUCAGCGAUCACAGCCUGCAUCCGUAAUGGGUCUGCGACCAAACGACCACCCCUCAUAACUGUCAAACGCUCCCUAAAACACUUCUGCGAGCAGGCCUUUCUAAUCGACCUGGCCGGGGUAUCCUGGAAUGACAUUGACCUCAUCCCGUCAGUAGAUGAUGCCUGGCUAUUCUUUAAAAGUGCCUUCCUCACCAUCUUAAAUAAGCAUGCCAGACUCAAAAAAUGUAGAACUAGGAAUAGAUAUAGUCCUUGGUUCACUCCAGACCUGUCUGCCCUUGACCAGCACAAAAACAUCUUGUGGUGUUCUGCAUUAGCAUCGAAUAGCCCCCGUGAUAUGCAACCUUUCAGGGAAGUUAGGAACAAAUAUACAUAGGCAGUUAGAAAAGCUAAGGCUAGCUUUUCAAACAGAAAUGUGCAUCCUGUAGUACUAACUCAAAAACGUUUUGGGACACUGUAAAGUCCAUGGAGAAUAAGAGCACCUCCUUCCAGCUGCCCACUGCUCUGAGGUUAGGAAACACUGUUACCACCGAUAAAUCCACUAUAAUUGAGAAUUUCAAUAAGCAUUUCUCUACGGCUGGCCAUGCUUUCCACCUGGCUACCCCUACCCCGGUCAACUGCCCGGCACCCUCCACAGCAACCCGCCAAAGCCCCCCUGCUUCUCCUUCACCCAAAUCCAGAUAGUUGAUGUUCUGAAAGAGCUGCAAAAUCUGGAUCCCUACAAAUCAGCUGGGCUAGACAAUCUGCACCCUCUCUUUCUAAAAGUCUCUGCCGAAAUUGUUGCAACCCCUAUUACUAGCCUGUUCAACCUCUCUUUCAUAUCGUCUGAGAUUCCCAAAGAUUGGAAAGCUGCCGUGGUCAUCCCCCUCUUCAAAGGGGGUGGCACUCUAGACCCAAACUGUUAUAGACCUAUAUCCAUCCUGCCCUGCCUUUCUAAAAUCUUCGAAAGCCAAGUUAACAAACAGAUCACCGACCAUUUCGAAUCCCACCGUACCUUCUCCACUAUGCAAUCUGGUUUCCGAGCUGGUCAUGGGUGCACCUCAGCCACGCUCAAGGUCCUAAACGAUAUCAUAACCACCAUCGAUAAAAGACAGUACUGUACAGCUGUAUUCCUCGACCUGGCCAAGGCUUUCGACUCUGUCAAUCAUCACAAUCUUAUCGGCAGACUCAAUAGCCUUUGUUUCUCAAAUGACUGCCUCACCUGGUUCACCAACUACUUCUCAGACAGAGUUCAGUGUGUCAAAUCGGAGGGCCUGUUGUCCGGACCUCUGGUAGUCUAUGGGGGUGCCACAGGGUUCAAUUCUCAGGCUGACUCUUUUCUCUCUAUAUAUCAAUAAUGUCGCUCUCGCUGCUGCUGAUGAUUCUCUGAUGCACCUCUAUGCAGGCGACACCAUUCUGUAUACAUUUGGCCCUUCUUUGGACACUGUGUUAACAAACCUCCAAAUGAGCUACAAUGCCAUACAACACACCUUCUGUGGCCUCCAACUGUUUUUAAAUGCUAGUAAAACUAAAUGCAUGCUCUUAAACCGAUUGCUGCCCGCACCCGCCCACUACUCUGGAUGAUUCUGAAUUAGAACAUGUGGACAACUACAAAUACCUAGGUUUCUGGUUAGACUGUAAACUCUCCUUCCAGACUCACAUUAAGCAUUUCCAAUCCUAAGUUAAAUCUAGAAUCGGCUUCCUAUUUCGCAACAAAGCCUCCUUCACUCAUGCUGCCAAACAUACCCUCGUAAAACUGACUAUCCUACCGAUCCAUUGACAAAAUAGUCUCCAACACUACUCAGCAAACUGUAUGUAGUCUAUCACAGUGCCAUCCAUUUUGUCACCGAAGCCCCAUAUACUACCCACCACUGCAACCUGUAUGCUCUCGUUGGCUGGCCCUCGCAACAUAUUUGUCCCCAGACCCACUGGCUACAGGUCAUCUAUAAGUCUUUGCUAGGUAAAGCCUCGUCUUAUCUCAGCUCACUGGUCACCAUAGCAACACCCACCCGUAGCAAGCGCUCCAGCAGGUAUAUUUCACUGGUCAUCCCCAAAGCCAACACUUCCUUUGGCCGCCUUUCCUUCCAGUUCUCUGCUGCCAAUGACUGGAACAAAUUGCAAAAAUCACUGAAGCUGGAGUCUUAUAUCUCCCUCACUAACUUUAAGCAUCAGCUGUCAGAGCAGUUUACUGAUCACUGUACCUGUACACAGCCAAUCUGUAAAUAGCACACCCAACUACCUCAUCCUCAUAUUAUUUAUCUUUUGCUCUUUUUCACACCAGUAUCUCUACUUGCACAUCCUCAUCUGCACAUCUAUCACUCCAGUGUUAAUGCUAAAUUGUAAUUAUUUCACCUCUAUGGCCUAUUUAUUGCCUUGCCUCCCUAAUCUUCUACAUUUGCACACACUGUACAUGGAUUUUUCUAUUGCGUUAUUGACUGUACGUUUGUUUAUCCCAUGUGUAACUCUGUGUUGUUGUUUUGGUCACACUGCUUUGCUUUAUCUUGGCCAGGUCACAGUUGUAAAUGAGAACUUGUUCUCAACUGGCCUACCUGGUUAAGUAAGGUGAAAUAAAAAUACAAAUAAAAAUAUGGGACCAAAUACUUAACUUUUGAUUAAUUUAAUACACAUAAGUGAAUUUGUCCCAAUAGUUUUGGUCCCCUAAAAUGUGGGGACUAUGUAUAAAAAGUGCAGUAAUUACAAAACAGUUUAUCCAAUACCGUUGUACAGUAAAUACACUAAAAUUAAAUCUGACAGUCUGUACUUUAACCUCAUUGUCAUUGUGUCAUUUCAAAUGAUUCACUGUCCCAAUACUUUUCUAGCUCACUGUAUAUGCCAUGUAGCAGACACUUUUAUCUAAUGUGACUUAGUCACAUGUGCAUACAUUUUAUGUAUGGGUGGCUCGGGGACUCAAACCCACAACCCUGGCAGUGCAAGCGCCAUGCUCUACAAACUGAGCCAUACAGAACCACUUGAGGCCCACUUGACAAAGGAAUAGAACUACUCAGAUUUAGUUUAAUAUGGUAUGUGAAUGAGCUUUCAUUCUCUCACCUGCAUUAAACCAGAACAUUUCCCAAAUCAAUAGGGAACAAAGGCUAAUCUCUGCAUUAUGUACUGUUUGUUGUGUCAGUCGAUGUUUCCAUCUCAAUCUAUAUUGCUUUCACAGGCAAUUGAUGAUCAAGUGGAUAAAGGAGAUUCACAGGGCCCAUUGGACAGGUGUAUGAAAGAGGACACACAUGGAGGAAUCUGAUUCCUAAGACAUUGUGUGUGUUCCCCUGCACAUUUGCGACAGCAGUCAGAAGAUCUGUACGCUGUCAUAGACGAAGUGUUAGAGGACCCCAUUCCAAUGCGCAAAACAUCCCCUGCCCUCGCAUAUCCCAGGGAAUCAAAGGAAAAGGUGCACCAAAGGCAACUUACAACCUACAACCAUCUGCCACUGUUGAGAGAGAACCUCCAGAUCCAUAAAAAGAGGUGCAGGGGGCUGCCUUAACCGACAUCCACGUCUUCGGUGCCCGGGGAGCAGUGGGUUAAUUGCCUUGCUCAGGGGAAGAACGACAGAUUUUUACCCUGUCAGCUCGGGGAUUCGAUCCAUGGGGGUGUGGGUUUGCAUGUGUGCAAGCGUGACCUCACGCAUGGCAUGCGCGAGUGGACAUAUACAACUGGAAAUGAGAUGGUCCUCUAACUGGUCAAUAUGGCUACAAAGGAUGUCACACACAGUGGAUUAAAAAUACAAAGAUAGUCCAGAUAUUAAAGGGUCAGGAUAGUCUACUUGCACAUGCAACAUCACAAUUACCACAAAUAAACAGCACAGUAAUUAGAUGAACUGACUUUACCAGGAAUAGUCUUCUCAUAAAAUUAUCAUUACUUGGGUUUCUUUACUUGCUUUCUCCCACUUGUAGCAGUACACAUCAUUGCC
rnacentral:lncRNA from 1 species